UCCGAUAUGGUCUAAUGGCUAGGAUAGCGCUCUUUCAUAGCAUAAUUGCUUACGUAAGAGCAGCGCGGGUCGGGGUUCGAUUCCCCGUGUCGGAA